rnacentral:rRNA from 1 species
AGAGUUUGAUUAUGGCUCAGAACGAACGCUGGCGGCGUGCUUAACACAUGCAAGUCGAACGGAGUUAAGCGCUGAAUGAGGCUUCGGCGGAUUCUUGCUUAACUUAGUGGCGGACGGGUGAGUAACGCGUGAGUAACUUGCCCUUGAGUGGGGAAUAACGUUCUGAAAAGAACGCUAAUACCGCAUAAUAUAUACUUGUCGCAUGGCAGGUAUAUCAAAGAUUUAUCGCUCGAGGAUGGACUCGCGUCCGAUUAGCUUGUUGGCGGGGUAACGGCCCACCAAGGCGACGAUCGGUAGCCGGACUGAGAGGUUGAACGGCCACAUUGGGACUGAGACACGGCCCAGACUCCUACGGGAGGCAGCAGUGGGGGAUAUUGCGCAAUGGGGGGAAAAACCCCCUGACGCAGCAACGCCGCGUGGAGGAUGACGGUUUUCGGAUUGUAAACUCCUUUUAUAAGGGACGAACUAAGACGGUACCUUAUGAAUAAGCUCCGGCUAACUACGUGCCAGCAGCUGC